UACGUAGGGUGCAAGCGUUGUCCGGAAUUAUUGGGCGUAAAGAGCUCGUAGGCGGUUUGUUGCGUCGGCUGUGAAAUCCCGAGGCUCAACCUCGGGUCUGCAGUCGAUACGAGCAAACUAGAGUGCGGUAGGGGAGAUCGGAAUUCCUGGUGUAGCGGUGAAAUGCGCAGAUAUCAGGAGGAACACCGGUGGCGAAGGCGGAUCUCUGGGCCGUAACUGACGCUGAGGAGCGAAAGCAUGGGGAGCGAACAGG
rnacentral:rRNA from 1 species